GACGAACCGUGCGAACGUUGUUCGAAUCACUGGGCUUAAAGGGCGCGUAGGCGGGUUCGCAAGUCUGUGGUGAAAGCCUCCAGCUUAACUGGAGAAGUGCCGUGGAUACUGCGAAUCUUGAGGAGGGUAGGGGCGUCUGGAACGGUCGGUGGAGCGGUGAAAUGCGUUGAUAUCGACCGGAACUCCGGUGGCGAAGGCGGGUCUCUGGGCCGAUACUGACGCUGAGGAGCGAAAGCGUGGGGAGCGAACAGG
rnacentral:rRNA from 1 species